rnacentral:rRNA from 1 species
UACGUAGGGUGCGAGCGUUGUCCGGAAUUACUGGGCGUAAAGCGCACGCAGGUGGCUGAGUCAGUCGAUUGUGAAAGCCCUGGGCUUAACCUGGGAAUUGCAGUCGAUACUACUUAGCUAGAGUAUGGGAGAGGGCAGUGGAAUUCCCGGUGUAGCGGUGAAAUGCGUAGAUAUCAGGAGGAAUACCGACGGCGAAGGCAGCUUACUGGGCACUAUCUGACGCUGAGGCGCGAAAGCGUGGGUAGCAAACAGG